rnacentral:rRNA from 1 species
CCUGGCUCAGGAUGAACGCUAGCGGCAGGCCUAACACAUGCAAGUCGAGGGGUAGAGGGUGCUUGCACCCUUGAGACCGGCGCACGGGUGCGUAACGCGUAUGCAACCUACCUAUUGCAGGGGAAUAGCCCAGGGAAACUUGGAUUAAUGCCCCAUAGUCCAUAUUGAGAGCAUUUGAGAUAUGGUAAAGAUUUAUCGGCAAUAGAUGGGCAUGCGUCCCAUUAGCUAGUUGGUAUGGUAACGGCAUACCAAGGCUACGAUGGGUAGGGGCCCUGAGAGGGGGAUCCCCCACACUGGUACUGAGACACGGACCAGACUCCUACGGGAGGCAGCAGUGAGGAAUAUUGGACAAUGGGCGGGAGCCUGAUCCAGCCAUGCCGCGUGCAGGAAGACUGCCCUAUGGGUUGUAAACUGCUUUUUUACGGGAAGAAACACCCCCACGUGUGGGGGCUUGACGGUACCGUACGAAUAAGGACCGGCUAACUCCGUGCCAGCAGCCGCGGUAAUACGGAGGGUCCGAGCGUUAUCCGGAAUCAUUGGGUUUAAAGGGUCCGUAGGCGGGCGUCUAAGUCAGUGGUGAAAUCUCGCGGCUCAACCGUGAAAUUGCCAUUGAUACUGGUCGCCUUGAAUUAGUGUGAAGUGGCUAGAAUAUGUAGUGUAGCGGUGAAAUGCUUAGAUAUUACAUAGAAUACCGAUUGCGAAGGCAGGUCACUAACACUAUAUUGACGCUGAUGGACGAAAGCGUGGGGAGCGAACAGGAUUAGAUACCCUGGUAGUCCACGCCGUAAACGAUGGAUACUAGCUGUCCGGCCUGCAUUGGUAGGCUGGGUGGCCAAGCGAAAGUGAUAAGUAUCCCACCUGGGGAGUACGUUCGCAAGAAUGAAACUCAAAGGAAUUGACGGGGGCCCGCACAAGCGGUGGAGCAUGUGGUUUAAUUCGAUGAUACGCGAGGAACCUUACCAGGGCUUAAAUGUAGUCUGACAGGGGUGGAAACACCCCCUUCUUCGGACAGACUGCAAGGUGCUGCAUGGUUGUCGUCAGCUCGUGCCGUGAGGUGUCAGGUUAAGUCCUAUAACGAGCGCAACCCCUGUCGUUAGUUGCCAGCAUGUAAAGAUGGGAACUCUAACGAGACUGCCGGUGCAAACCGUGAGGAAGGUGGGGAUGACGUCAAAUCAUCACGGCCCUUACGUCCUGGGCCACACACGUGCUACAAUGGCAGGUACAAUGGGCAGCCACGCCGCAAGGCGGAGCGAAUCCACAAAACCUGUCUCAGUUCGGAUCGGGGUCUGCAACUCGACCCCGUGAAGCUGGAAUCGCUAGUAAUCGGAUAUCAGCCAUGAUCCGGUGAAUACGUUCCCGGGCCUUGUACACACCGCCCGUCA